GAGAGGAGAGCGCAUAUGAACCAUAGGUUCAUAUUUAGGAUGCGCUCGACGAUUUACCGCCGAACGAAAGUGAGGGGGUGCUACCCGUG
ncrna:unclassified sequences GA-cis RNA